rnacentral:rRNA from 1 species
UCCGUAGGCGGGCGUCUAAGUCAGUGGUGAAAUCUUACAGCUCAACUGUAAAAUUGCCAUUGAUACUGGAUGUCUUGAAUUAGUGUGAAGUGGUUAGAAUGUGUAGUGUAGCGGUGAAAUGCAUAGAUAUUACACAGAAUACCAAUUGCGAAGGCAGAUCACUAACACUAUAUUGACGCUGAGGGACGAGAGCGUGGGGAGCGAACAGGAUUAGAUACCCUGGUAGUCC